GACGAACGCUGGCGGCGUGCUUAAUACAUGCAAGUGGAGCGACGAACCAGGCUUCGGCCUGGGGCAGAGCCGCGAACGGGUGAGUAACACGUGGGUAACCUGCCUCGAUGACCGGGACAACCCGGGGAACCCGGGCUAAUACCGGAUGUGCUGUCCCACAUCAGUGGAGACAGGAAAGGAAGCUUCGGCCUCCGCAUCGAGAUGGGCCCGCGGCCCAUUAGCUUGUUGGUGUGGUAACGGCUCACCAAGGCUGCGAUGGGUAGCUGGUCUGAGAGGACGAUCAGCCACACUGGGACUGAGACACGGCCCAGACU
rnacentral:rRNA from 1 species